rnacentral:rRNA from 1 species
GAUGAACGCUGGCGGCGUGCCUAAUACAUGCAAGUCGAGCGAACAGACGAGGAGCUUGCUCCUCUGACGUUAGCGGCGGAAGGGGGAGUAACACGUGGCUAACCUACCUAUAAGACUGGGAUAACUUCGGGAAACCGGAACUAAUACCGGAUAAUAUAUUGAACCGCAGGGUUCAAAAGUGACAGACAGUUUUGCUGUCACUUAUAGAUGGAUCCGCGCCGAAUUAGCUAGUUGGUAAGGUAACGGGUUACCAAGGCAACGAGGCGUAGCCGACCUGAGAGGGUGCUGCGCCACACUGUAACGGAGACACGGUCCAGACUCCUACGGGUGUCAGCAGUAGGGAAUCUUCCGCAAUGGGCGAAAGCCUGACGGAGCAACGCCGCGUGAGUGAUGAAGGUCUUCGGAUCGUAAAACUCUGUUAUUAGGGAAGAACAAAUGUGUAAGUAACUAUGCACGUCUUGACGGUACCUAAUCAGAAAGCCACGGCUAACUACGUG